rnacentral:rRNA from 1 species
CAAUAGCGUAUAUUUAAGUUGCUGCAGUUAAAAAGCUCGUAGUUGGAUUUCGGGUGGGAAUGGCCGGUCCGCCGUUUCGGUGUGCACUUGCUACGCCCACCUUGCUGCCGGGGACGUGCUCUUGAGUUCACGCUCGGGACACGGAGUCGGCGAGGUUACUUUGAGUAAAUUAGAGUGUUCAAAGCAGGCCUACGCUCUGAAUACAUUAGCAUGGAAUAACACGAUAGGACUCUGGCCUAUCUUGUUGGUCUGUAGGACCGGAGUAAUGAUUAAGAGGGACAGUCGGGGGCAUUCGUAUUUCAUGGUCAGAGGUGAAAUUCUUGGAUUUAUGAAAGACGAACUACUGCGAAAGCAUUUGCCAAGGAUGUUUUCAUUAA